rnacentral:rRNA from 1 species
ACCUCUGCAAUAGGCGAAAGCCUGACAGGGUUAUUCUGAGUGACUUUCGCUAAGAAAGUCUUUUGACAUCUCUAAAAAUGGUGUAGAAUAAGGGGUGGGCAAGUCUGGUGUCAGCCGCCGCGGUAAUACCAGCACCCCGAGUGGUCGGGACGAUUAUUGGGCCUAAAGCAUCCGUAGCCGGUUCUACAAGUCUUCCGUUAAAUCCACCUGCUUAACAGUUGGGCUGCAGAGGAUACUAUAGAGCUAGGAGGCGGGAGAGGCAAGCGGUACUUAGUGGGUAGGGGUAAAAUCCGUUGAUCCACUGAAGACCACCAGUGGCGAAGGCGGCUUGCCAGAACGCGCUCGACGGUGAGGGAUGGAAGCUGGGGGAGCAAACCGGAUUAGAUACCCGGGUAGUCCCAGCUGUAAACGAUGCAGACCCGGUGAUGAACAGGCUUCGUGCCUAUUCAGUGCCGCAGGGAAGCCGUUAAGUCUGCCGCCUGGGGAGUACGGUCGCAAGACUGAAACUUAA